rnacentral:rRNA from 1 species
CAGCUAGUUGGCGAGGUAACGGCUCACCAAGGCUUCGAUCGGUAACCGGCCUGAGAGGGCGAUCGGUCACACCGGAACUGAGACACGGUCCGGACUCCUACGGGAGGCAGCAGUGGGGAAUCUUGCGCAAUGGGCGAAAGCCUGACGCAGCAACGCCGCGUGGAGGAUGAAGGCCCUUGGGUUGUAAACUCCUGUCGGCUGGGAAGAAAUCGCGCGGUGCUCAUACCAUCGCGCGUUGACUGUACCAGCAAAGGAAGCCCCGGCUAACUCUGUGCCAGCAGCCGCGGUAAUACAGAGGGGGCUAGCGUUAUUCGGAAUUAUUGGGCGUAAAGGGCGCGUAGGCGGCCCUGCGUGUCUUCCGUGAAAUCCCUCGGCUUAACUGAGGACGUGCGGAAGAAACUGCGGGGCUCGAGUCCGGGAGAGGGGGGUGGAAUUCCCAGUGUAGCGGUGAAAUGCGUAGAUAUUGGGAGGAACACCGGUGGCGAAGGCGGCCCCCUGGACCGGUUCUGACGCUGAGGCGCGAAAGCGCGGGUAGCAAACGGGAUUAGAUACCCCGGUAGUCCACGCCGUAAACGAUGGGCACUUGGUGUCGCGGGUAUCGACCCCUGCGGUGCC